rnacentral:rRNA from 1 species
UACGGAGGGUGCGAGCGUUAAUCGGAAUUACUGGGCGUAAAGGGUGCGUAGGUGGUUUGUUAAGUUACACGUGAAAUCCCUGGGCUUAACCUGGGAGUGGCGUGUGAUACUGACGAACUCGAGUACGGGAGAGGGUAGUGGAAUUUCCGGUGUAGCGGUGAAAUGCGUAGAGAUCGGAAGGAACACCAGUGGCGAAGGCGGCUACCUGGCCUGAUACUGACACUGAGGCACGAAAGCGUGGGGAGCAAACAGGAUUAGAUACCCUGGUAGUCCACGCUGUAAACGAUGUCAACUAGCUGUUGGUCAUAUUAAGAUGAUUAGUGGCGCAGCAAACGCGAUAAGUUGACCGCCUGGGGAGUACGGUCGCAAGAUUAAA